AGUCUACAAAACCCCACAGCCCCUAAGAAUUCCCUCACCUGCCUUCUGCCCUUAGGCUCCGGUAGAUUGCAAAUGACCUGCUUUCUUUCUGUUCCCGGGCGUUUGGACCCCUGUCUUGGACCGCUGUCGGAUAGUAAAUCCCAAGUAAGGUACCUGCCGUCGGCAGAUUUGAGCUUUCUUCUUGGACACCUAAUACCCAGAGUCCUCCAGGCUCCGGUAGAUUGCAAAUGACCUGCUUUCUUUCUGUUCCCGGGCGGCAUCGGACCCGUCGGAGAGUAAAUCCCAAGUAAGGUACCUGCCGUUGGCAGAUUUGAGCUUUCUUCUUGGACACCUAAUACCCACAGUCCUCCAGGCUCCGGUAGAUUGCAAAUGACCUGCUUUCUUUCUGUUCCCGGGUGGCAUCGACCCGUCGGAGAGUAAAUCCCAAGUAAGGUACCUGCCGUUGGCAGAUUUGAGCUUUCUUCUUGGACACCUAAUACCCACAGUCCUCCAGUAAAUCCCAAGCAAGGUACCUGCCGUCAGCAGAUUUGAGCUUUCUUCUUGGACACCUAAUACCCACAGUCCUCCAGGCUCCGGUAGAUUGCAAAUGACCUGCUUUCUUUCUGUUCCCGGGCUGCGUUCGGACCCCUGUCGGAUAGUAACUCCCAAGUAAGGUACCUGCCGUCGGCAGAUUGGAGCUUUCUUCUUGGAGACCUAAUACCCACAGUCCUCCAGGCUCCGGUAGAUUGCAAAUGACCUGCUUUCUUUCUGUUCCCGGGCUGCGUUCGGACCCCUGUCGGAGAGUAAAUCCGAAAAAAACAAACAAAGACAUGGAUUUACUGUGCAUAUUAGCAGAUCCAUACUGGAAAAUGCAUGGAGGUUUCAUAUACACCACUUACAGGUUUCCAAAGCCACAAUUUCCUUCAUAUGUUCAAACUCUUCAGGAUGCAGAAAGGCAGUGAACUCCUCCGGAGUAGCUGUCAGGUCACCAUUGAGGUCUGCAGCUUUGAAUCUUCUCUCAUCACGUGGCAGCAUCUUUUUAAAGGUGUGAUGAUCUGAAGAAUCAUGAAACUCUGCGGGGUUUCCUAGGUUUUCAGCUCCUCAGUAGUGACAAAGCCAUACCCAUCAUUGUCGAUUCGAUCAACAAUCUUCCCUAGCCUCUCCUUGCUCUCGUCCGGGGUGAGCUCGUCGAAGUUCUUGGAGUCCUCCUUGCCCAGGAAGGCCUCGUGGUCGUACUGGAAGCUCUGGUUGUCCUCAGGGGGCCGCUCGCCCAGCUCCGAGUCGGGCCGCACCACGCGCUCUUUGCGCACCGUGGGCUUGGCCCGCAGAACCCGCGGCGCCAGCACCAGCGCCAGCAGCAGCCCCAGGGCUAACCCCAGGCGGCCACCGCGCGCCAUCGUCCCGAGGAGAGGGCGGCCGGGAGGGAGACGCUGAGCGAGCGACAACAGCGGCAGCUCGGGAAUGGGGGCUCGGAGCGCGGCGGCCAAGUUUUAUGUUAUGUAUAUUUUACAAGUAAAAAAAUUUUUUCACCUCAGCCUGAACUGAACACUAGCUGACAGACGUUUUGAUUUCUUUGACCAUCACGGAAUCGUGGCCAAGCGCGGUGGCUCACAUCUGUAAUCCCAACACUUUGGGAGGUCAAGAUGGGCGGAUUGCUUGAAUCCAGGUGUUUGAGAUCAGCCUGGGCAACAUGACAAAACCCUGUUUCUAGUAAAAAUACAAAAAUUAACCAGGCUCAAGCCAUGACCAUGCACCAUUGCACUCCAGCCUAGGCGACAGA
rnacentral:lncRNA from 1 species